GCGCAGUAGAGAGCAGGUGUUGGUGGUGCACGCGCGUGUGUGUGUGUGUGUGUCUGGAUUGUCUUUUUCAGGGGUACGUGUGUAGCCCCCCCUCCCCUUCCCCCUUCACUGCUGCUGCUGCUGCUGGUGCCCUCAAUGUGCGUCAGACCUCGGCCACAGGAGCACCCAGCCCUGGCCACCCCCGCAUCGCCAAGCCGCCGCCGGGGAUACUGACUCAGCCGUGUGAACAUGACGAAGGCGGUGUAGAAGAACUCACAGCUCUAUCCUACUGCUCUUGGUCGUGGUGGUGGUGGUGUGAGGGUGGUGGUGGUGCUGGUGGUAGUGCACAGGAGGGGGAGGAGGAGGAGGAGGAGGAGUGGUGGUGAGAGAUGAAGGUGUGAAGAGAGUGUGACCGUGCAAAUGUCUUCCUUUUGAACCCCGCGAAGGAAGGAGGACGAAGAGAAAAGAUUAGAAGAGUGAGAGAAAGUUUUGGAGAGAGCGAGCGUUGAGAGUGAAAAAGAGAGAAAAAGAGAAGGAAAAAAGCAGCAGAUACUAAGAGACCGAAAUCCCGAGAGAAAGAGAGAGAGAGAGAGAGAAAAAAAAGAGAGAGAGAGAGAGAGAGAGAGAGAGAGAGAGGAGAAAAACAAGCGACUAACAGACAGAAAAUUAAGGACAGAGAAAACGAAAGAAAAAGAAAGAAAAAAAAAGAGAGGAAGAGCGAGAAAGAGACUGAGAAGGUGAAAGAGACAUAGGAGCGUGGGAGGCGGGAGCGAGCGUGUGUGGGAAGCGAGUAUAGAAGAAAAC